rnacentral:rRNA from 1 species
UACGGAGGGUGCGAGCGUUGUCCGGAAUCACUGGGCGUAAAGGGCGCGUAGGCGGCCUGAUAAGUAGGGGGUGAAAUCCUGCGGCUUAACCGCAGGGGCUGCCUUCUAAACUGUCAGGCUUGAGCACAGUAGAGGCAGGUGGAAUUCCCGGUGUAGCGGUGGAAUGCGUAGAGAUCGGGAAGAACAUCAGUGGCGAAGGCGGCCUGCUGGGCUGUUGCUGACGCUGAGGCGCGACAGCGUGGGGAGCAAACAGGG